CUAUUUUUGAAGCGUAUUGGCUUUCCUAUGUCCAUCCGGUAUAGGAAAUAAAAGGGAACCGGGUGUAAAUCCCGGACAGGCCCCGCUGCUGUGAGCUUCUUUACAACGUCCGGACAAUGCUUCUGCCACUGUCGUUUAUACCUCCGACGGGAAGGCGUCUGGAUUGGAGCAAGUCAGAAGACCUGCCAUACAAGCAAUCGUCUG
rnacentral:ncRNA from 2 species